rnacentral:rRNA from 1 species
AUGAACGCUGGCGGCGUGCCUAAUACAUGCAAGUCGAGCGAACGGACGAGAAGCUUGCUUCUCUGAUGUUAGCGGCGGACGGGUGAGUAACACGUGGAUAACCUACCUAUAAGACUGGGAUAACUUCGGGAAACCGGAGCUAAUACCGGAUGAUAUUUUGAACCGCAUGGUUCAAAAGUGAAAGACGGUCUUGCUGUCACUUAUAGAUGGAUCCGCGCUGCAUUAGCUAGUUGGUAAGGUAACGGCUUACCAAGGCAACGAUGCAUAGCCGACCUGAGAGGGUGAUCGGCCACACUGGAACUGAGACACGGUCCAGACUCCUACGGGAGGCAGCAGUAGGGAAUCUUCCGCAAUGGGCGAAAGCCUGACGGAGCAACGCCGCGUGAGUGAUGAAGGUCUUCGGAUCGUAAAACUCUGUUAUUCGGGAAGAACAUAUGUGUAAGUAACUGUGCACAUCUUGACGGUACCUAAUCAGAAAGCCACGGCUAACUACGUG